UGCAAGCGUUAAUCGGAAUUACUGGGCGUAAAGCGUGCGUAGCGGUUCGUUAAGUCAGAUGUGAAAGCCCCCGGGGCUUUAACCUGGGAACUGCAUUUGAAACUGGCGGACUUGAGUUGAGUAGAGGGGAGUGGAAUUUCAGGUGUAGCGGUGAAAUUGCGUAGAUAUCUGAAGGGAACACCAGUGGCGAAGGCGACUCCCUGGACUCAAACUGACGCUGAGGUACGAAAGCGUGGGUAGCAAACAGGAUUAGAUACCCUGGUAGUCCACGCUGUAAACGAUGUCAACUAGCCGUUGGUCCUAUUUACAGGAUUAGUGGCGCAGCUAACGCAUUAAGUUGACCGCCUGGGGAGUACGGCCGCAAGGUUAAAACUCAAAUGAAUUGACGGGGGCCCGCACAAGCGGUGGAGCAUGUGGUUUAAUUCGAUGCAAC
rnacentral:rRNA from 1 species